AAAGAGGGUUUGGAUGAACCCCGCGGUCCUACCUGGCUCCACCUUUGGGAAUGGAUAUAUGUGGUUCAUUUGACCGUCUAGUUUUGGAAUUGAUGGUAACUGUUGUUUUAAUGUUACAUAUGCAAUAGCUUGCUUUCUCUUUUGACUUUUUCUUUCUAUCCCAAGUAUCUUAUCAUCACCAUGAGAGAGCCCAAUAAUUUCCUUUUUCUGUUUACGAGAAUUAUGCUUCAAUUCUAGACAUUCUGGAAGAACAUUUAACAAAACCCGUGUUUGUUUUAUCCUGUUAGUAUCAACUACCAAUACGAAAUUCAUAAGGCUAGAGUAUUGAUUCUAUUGUUCGUGGAUAAAAGGAAUAUGGUAUGCGAAGCUGAUGGAGGUUUAAUUUAUGUAAGAGAGCCAUUUGGUCUUGAUAACAAUUGUUUCCGGGUCAUCUUGUAAUGCACCUGACUAUUCUACCAAGUACCCACUAAUUCUGACUAGCAUGGUGCCAGGUAAAAGUUUCCUGGUAGCUGAAGGUUUCUCGGAAGCAUCCUCUCUAUCUCUACGAGGUAGAGGUUAAGAUUGCGUACAAUCUAUUCUCUCUAGACCCUGCUUGUGUGAUUACACUGGAUUAUGCAUAAUAAAGGAGCUAAAGCUAGCAGCAAUGAGGAGAACUUGACAGCUCGUGAUGACGGAAACAAUGAGCUUAGAAGCAACAGGGAGGGAGAUGAUAGCAGCAAAGUUGCACCAGAUACCACUACAGAAAUGGGGGAUUCAAGCAGCUUUCCAUCAGUAAAAGAAAAUUCCUUUUCCGAGGCAGUUCCUCCUGAAAACCAUACUGGCCAACUGAAUGAGCAAAACACCCAGGAUAAGGCCAUACAGAGCGUCCAUUCACUGAGUGUAGAAGAUUACAACCAGUUACUUUACAAAUAUUAUGAACUUGAGGAUCAGAGGCAAAAGAUUUUGCAGCAACUUAACCAGUUUGGCAUCUCGGGUGAUCAAAAUUCUGAUUAUACUUCACAAGAACAUCAAGCUUAUGCAUCACAGAAUUUAAAUCCAACAGAAUCUUCUUUCUACUGCCCAUAUGGAUGCCAAAGUUGGGUGUCUCCAUGCACCGCAUCACCUUGUUGUUUGUGUGGAAAUCAGGAUGACAAAACAUGCGAUGCUUCUUUACAAUGUGUUCAAGGAAAAAACUCACUUCCACAAAACCCUAAUUUGGUUACCAUAGCAAUGGAAGCUGCAGAAAAGCACUCUCCUCUUUAAAACAAGCUUCUAACACGGCUUUACUGGAUUCAUUUGCAAAGGAAGGAAAACAAAUAGAGACGAUGAACCCUGUUGCUGCAGAGAAAGUUGCAGGCUUGGAGACAGAUCUAAAGGAAGUGCUGAAUGCAUGGUACUCAGCAGCUUUUACACUGGAAAGUAUCUUUCAGAGCAAUCCAAGAAGAGAGAUGGUUAACUUGGUACUUAUUCAGCUGGAAAUCAAAUGUGGUGUUGUCAAAUUGACAAAGAAAACAAACAUGUAUUAAUAUUACCGAGUCAAAAAUCAUGUGUUAGUGUUACCGAGGCUUUUGUACACUAGAAUUCGACGCUCUGAUGUAACAUUUGAUGUUGUACAGCACUUCUGGUUGGUUGAUUUUCCGAAAUAUAUUGGCUAAAGAGUUCUUUUUGACGAGUUAA